GAUGAAGAACGCAGCGAAAUGCGAUAAGUAAUGUGAAUUGCAGAAUUCAGUGAAUCAUCGAAUCUUUGAACGCACAUUGCGCCCGCCAGUAUUCUGGCGGGCAUGCCUGUCUGAGCGUCAUUUCAACCCUCAUGCCCCUAGGGCGUGGUGUUGGGGAUCGGCCAAAGCCCGCGAGGGACGGCCGGCCCCUAAAUCUAGCGGCGGACCCGUCGUGGCCUCCUCUGCGAAGUAGUGAUAUUCCGCAUCGGAGAGCGACGAGCCCCUGCCGUUAAACCCCCAACUUUCCAAGGUUGACCUCAGAUCAGGUAGGAAUACCCGCUGAACUUAAGCAUAUCAAUAAGCGGAGGA
rnacentral:misc_RNA from 1 species